CUAUCUUAGUGGCGGACGGGUGAGUAACGCGUGGGUAACCUGCCUUGCACUGGGGGAUAACACUUAGAAAUAGGUGCUAAUACCGCAUAACAGUAGGAGACGCAUGUCUUUUACUUGAAAACUCCGGUGGUGUAAGAUGGACCCGCGUCUGAUUAGCUUGUUGGCGGGGUAACGGCCCACCAAGGCGACGAUCAGUAGCCGGCCUGAGAGGGUGAACGGCCACAUUGGGACUGAGACACGGCCCAAACUCCUACGGAAGGCAGCAG
rnacentral:rRNA from 1 species